UGAGAAGUUAGGAAAAAUAAUUUUAUUUAAAUAAAAGUUAAGUAUAGUUUAUAGAAAGGCUUUAAUUGAGUUGAACUGAAAAGGAAGAAUAGUUGAAAUAUGUGAAAAUUUUUUUAAAAAGAAGAAAGAUAUGUGUACCUUUUGUAUCAGGGUUUAUUAAUUAGGCUCAUUAAAUUAUGUAUUCCCGAAAAGAAAAGAUUUAUUGUUUAAAUUGAGUUUUUGUGACAAAAAGAUUUACAAUUGAACGAUGGAAAUGAAAAGUUAUUCGUUUUUCUUGAUAUCUGGUUUUUCAAGAAAUAAAUUUAAUUUAGAAUUUAAAUAUUGGUAUUAAGAAUAAUAUUAGUGGAGAUGUUUAAAUUUAAAAAUAUUGGGGAAAAGCUUGGUAUUUAAAAUUAUAUUAAAAUUUAAGUUAAGAUAAUUAUAUUCUUAUAAGUGGGAAUUAAAGCGAUUAUGUUAUAAUAGGAUUUAUUUUGAUUUGUAUAGGAUUAAUAUUUUAUUGAAAAUUGGAAUAUAAUAAUAAUGUUUUAUUUAUAUUGAUGAAAUUAGUAAAAAUGUGAAAUGUAUUGUAUUGGAUUGUUGAAUUUGUUUAAAGGAAUUAGGCAAAAAUUAAGAUGUCCGCCUGUUUAACAAAAACAUGGCUUUUGGUUUUAAUUAAAAGUCUGGCCUGCCCACUGAAGUUAAUUAAAGGGCUGCAGUAUUUUGACUGUACAAAGGUAGCAUAAUCAUUAGUUUCUUAAUUAGGAACUGGAAUGAAUGGUUUUUCGAGAUAUCAGCUGUCUACUAGAUAAAUAAAUUGAAUUUUAUAUUUAAGUUAGAAAGCUUAAAUGAGUUUUGGGGACGAGAAGACCCUAUAGAUCUUUAUAUUGAAUUCAAUAAUAUUAUCAUGUGGUUUAAUUGGGAUUUAUUGUUUUUGAUAUUUUAUUGGGGUGAUACGGGAAUAUAUAAACUUCUUGAAUAUUAUAAACUUGAAUUGAAGAAUUUUGGAUCCUUAAUUUAGGAAAGAAGAUUAAGAUACCUUAGGGAUAACAGCGUUAUUUUGUUAGAAAGUUCAUAUUAAUAACGAAGAUUGCGACCUCGAUGUUGGAUUAAGAUUAUUAGCUGGUGCAGAAGUUAGUUAAAUAGGUCUGUUCGACCUUUAAAUUCUUACAUGAUCUGAGUUCAAACCGGUGUGAGCCAGGUUGGUUUCUAUCUCAAAAUAAGAAAAAUAUUUUAGUACGAAAGGACCUAAUAUUUGAAAUAAUUUUUAUUUUAUGGAAAAAUAAG
rnacentral:rRNA from 1 species